rnacentral:tRNA from 1 species
GGAGAGAUGCCCGAGUGGCUAAAGGGGACGGUCUGUAAAACCGUUGGCGUACGCCUACGUAGGUUCGAAUCCUACUCUCUCCACCA